rnacentral:rRNA from 1 species
CCGUAUAACGAACGAAGACCUUAACCUGCUAAAUAAGCCAGGCUGUUCUUCCGAACGGCGUCGGCUUCUUAGAGGGACUAUUGGCGUUAGCCGAUGGAAGUUUGAGGCAAUAACAGGUCUGUGAUGCCCUUAGAUGUUCUGGGCAGCACGCGCGCUACACUGAUGAAGUCAGCGAGUUCUCCAACCUUGGCCGGAAGGCCUGGGUAAUCUUGUGAAACUUCAUCGUGCUGGGGAUAGAGCAUUGCAAUC